GUCAGAUUGAAGCUGGCGGCAGCCUACACAUGCAGUCGAGCGGUAACAGAAAGAAAGCUUGCUUUCUUUGCUGACGAGCGGCGGACGGGUGAGUAAUGCCUGGGAAUAUGCCUUGAUGUGGGGGAUAACCAUUGGAAACGAUGGCUAAUACCGCAUAAUGCCUACGGGCCAAAGAGGGGGAUCUUCGGACCUCUCGCGUCAAGAUUAGCCCAGGUGGGAUUAGCUAGUUGGUGAGGUAAUGGCUCACCAAGGCGACGAUCCCUAGCUGGUCUGAGAGGAUGAUCAGCCACACUGGAACUGAGACACGGUCCAGACUCCUACGGGAGGCAGCAGUGGGGAAUAUUGCACAAUGGGCGCAAGCCUGAUGCAGCCAUGCCGCGUGUGUGAAGAAGGCCUUCGGGUUGUAAAGCACUUUCAGUCGUGAGGAAGGUAGUUGCGUUAAUAGCGUAAUUAUUUGACGUUAGCGACAGAAGAAGCACCGGCUAACUCCGUGCCAGCAGCCGCGGUAAUACGGAGGGUGCGAGCGUUAAUCGGAAUUACUGGGCGUAAAGCGCAUGCAGGUGGUUUGUUAAGUCAGAUGUGAAAGCCCGGGGCUCAACCUCGGAAUUGCAUUUGAAACUGGCAGACUAGAGUACUGUAGAGGGGGGUAGAAUUUCAGGUGUAGCGGUGAAAUGCGUAGAGAUCUGAAGGAAUACCGGUGGCGAAGGCGGCCCCCUGGACAGAUACUGACACUCAGAUGCGAAAGCGUGGGGAGCAAACAGGAUUAGAUACCUGGUAGUCCACGCCGUAAACGAUGUCUACUUGGAGGUUGUGGCCUUGAGCCGUGGCUUUCGGAGCUAACGCGUUAAGUAGACCGCCUGGGGAGUACGGUCGCAAGAUUAAAACUCAAAUGAAUUGACGGGGGCCCGCACAAGCGGUGGAGCAUGUGGUUUAAUUCGAUGCAACGCGAAGAACCUUACCUACUCUUGACAUCCAGAGAAGCCAGCGGAGACGCAGGUGUGCCUUCGGGAACUCUGAGACAGGUGCUGCAUGGCUGUCGUCAGCUCGUGUUGUGAAAUGUUGGGUUAAGUCCCGCAACGAGCGCAACCCUUAUCCUUGUUUGCCAGCGAGUAAUGUCGGGAACUCCAGGGAGACUGCCGGUGAUAAACCGGAGGAAGGUGGGGACGACGUCAAGUCAUCAUGGCCCUUACGAGUAGGGCUACACACGUGCUACAAUGGCGCAUACAGAGGGCUGCCAACCAGCGAUGGUGAGCGAAUCCCAAAAAGUGCGUCGUAGUCCGGAUUGGAGUCUGCAACUCGACUCCAUGAAGUCGGAAUCGCUAGUAAUCGUGGAUCAGAAUGCCACGGUGAAUACGUUCCCGGGCCUUGUACACACCGCCCGUCACACCAUGGGAGUGGGCUGCAAAAGAAGUGGGUAGUUUAACCUUUCGAGGAGGACGCUCACCACUUUGUGGUUCAUGACUGGGGUGAAGUCGUAAACAAGGUAA
rnacentral:rRNA from 1 species